rnacentral:lncRNA from 10 species
ACAGCCCGGUCUUAGUUCAAAUUUCUUUUAGAAACAGAACAUCCUUUCAUGCUUUCACCUAAGUUAUAAAACCCAGGGCGGGCUUUGCCAGAUCAUCAGCUGUGGUGCAACAGGGUCUUGCACAGAUGAGAUUACAUCCACCCUGGGCAGCUUUCUUGAGCCUUGGGGGACCAGCUUAAUGAUGAACCCUAAUUUUCUGUUGUCCCUUGCUGCCUAUCUGUACGUAAUAAACCCGCUUUAUGUAAUUAGUUUAUGAGGAUUCUGUCUCACCAGACUCAGAAGACUGCGAGCGAUCUGAAUGCAACACUCGGAGCACUCAAAUGUGAGCAGAAAUACAGCUUUUCAUGUAAACUAAGUGAAGAAGAUAAAAUCACUGUUUAAAGGACACUCAGGAG